ensembl:snRNA U6 U6 spliceosomal RNA
GUGCUUGCUUUGUCAGCACAUAUACUAAAACUGGAAUGAUAUACAGAUUACAAUGCAUGGCCCCUGCGCAAAGACGACACACAAAUUCAUGAAGUGUUCCUUAUUUUU